CACGGAGUUAGCCGAUGCUUUUUCUUCGGGUACUCUCGACUCCGCCACACGUGGCGGAAUUUGCUCCCCGACAAAAGAGGUUUACAACCCGUAGGGCCGUCAUCCCUCACGCGACUUGGCUGGUUCAGGCUCGCGCCCAUUGACCAAUAUUCCUCACUGCUGCCUCCCGUAGGAGUCUGGUCCGUGUCUCAGUACCAGUGUGGGGGACCUUCCUCUCAGAACCCCUAGACAUCGUCGCCUUGGUGGGCCGUUGCCCCGCCAACUAGCUAAUGUCACGCAUGCCCAUCCGUUGCCGGAAUCGCUUCCUUUGGCCGCAGGGCCAUGCAGCCCCGCGGCGUUACGCGGUAUUAGACGGGAUUUCUCCCGAUUAUCCCCCUGCAACGGGCAGGUCGCAUACGCGUUACUCACCCGUGCGCCGGUCGCCGGCGGCAAGGAUUGCUCCUCGCCCCGAUGCCCCUCGACUUGCAUGUGUUAGGCCUGUCGCUAGCGUUCAUCCUGAGCCAGGAUCAAACU
rnacentral:rRNA from 1 species